GAAGAAACGUGGAGAUGACAACGUCAGGGAGCUCUGUGAAGGCAGCUGCGCUGGGGUGAAGACUCCAGCGCCCGUUUCCAGAAGAGGAGACGAGUCCCCAGGAAGUUAAAUAAUAUGAAUGGAGCCACAAGCUGGGAACAGUGAGACUAGGUCUGGGGUCAGUGUCUCUGACUCCGGGCCUGUGCUUCCCCUCGACGUCAUGAGGAUGACGGAAGCGGGCAACACCUUUCUUACGAGGGUUUGCUCAUUGGAAACCCUUUUCUUAACCUGUGUGGGCAGCCUGUACAAACAUCAUGUGGCCAUCACAGUCAGAAAGACUCUCCGCACAUCUAGCCUUGGUCUCUCCCGCUGAGGCCCAAAGCACCAGGUGACACCCUGGGAACAGCUAGGCCCCUUCCUGAGACUCUCGGACCCAAUGGCCUGGCCGCUGCUCCUGCCUCACUGACCUCCGGGCCUCUGUCCAGGAGUCUCAGGCCUUCUAAGCAGCCCACAAAGCUCUGGACGUUCACCAGCAUCUUGGGCGAGUGCCC
rnacentral:lncRNA from 1 species